rnacentral:lncRNA from 1 species
ACUAGUAGGUCAUACUAACUUGGGUACUUGUCACUAUUUGUUUUGUUGGAAUUGCUGAGGACAUGUCGGUGUCUAUUAAUUUCACUCUGUCUCUUGCAGUUAUAAUGACAGUCUGUUGUAGGUACCUGAGGUAUGUGGGUACACAUUUUCAUUCUCUCAUUCAGCAAAUAUGCACUGGAAUUAGGAGUCUCGCACUUUACUGGCCCCUGCAGCUGCAGAGAUGACUGGUCACAUUGUCAUGGAUGAAGGUAACGGCAGAGUAGCGAGGGGCUGUGAACCCCCACUGGAGCUGACUGCCCGCCUAGAUCCUGACUCUGCCACUCUCAAGUCCCGUGAUGUGUCUCUGUGCCUUCCUUUCCACAGGGGUACAUGGAUGGCUGGGGCUGCGGGGUAGCGUUGUGUGUGUGCAUCCCUGGGAACCAUGCCUGGCACUCAGCAGGUGCCAGGUGAUGGUACCUGUUGCUACCAUCAUUGUGACUUCACUGGCUGGGAACUAACACCAACUAAGACAGGAGUUCUUUUUAAAGAGCAUAGUGUUCAUCUUGUGGACUGGGACCUGUCAUGGCCUCCUUGGUGGGGUCAAAUCUGGUGUUGCCUGUGGGGUUCCCUGGGCCUCCUAGAGCUGGUUUCAGAAGGCCUGCAGGGCCAGAGGCAAGAUGGGCCCAGGUGGGGCAUGUCACAUCAUUAUAUUUUCUGCCUGUUACAGCAAAGGAUAUGCCACCACCCUCCUGUGUCUGAAGCUUGCCCAGCCAGCAGGUCCAGCUCCAGUGCUGCGUCAUGUGAAAGCCUUCCCCACUAUCAUGGCCUGCCCUGGAUUCUCAUGGAAUUAAAUGGACAAGCUGAUUCUAAAAUUCAUAUGGAACUGCAAGGGACACAGAAAGAACCAAAGCAGUCUUGGACAAGAACAAUGUUAGAAGACUCACUUCUCCAUUUCAAAACUUACUACAAAACUAUAGUAAUCGACCAGGUGCGGUGGCUCACGCCUGUAAUCCCAGCAUUUUGGGAGGCCAAGGUGGGCAGAUCACUUGAGGUCAGGAGUUUGAGACCAGCUUGGCCAACAUGGUGAAACCCCAUCUCAACUAAAAAGACAAAAAAAUUAGCUGGACAUGGUGGUGGGCGCCUAUAAUCUCAGCUACUCAGGAGGCUGAUGCAGAAGAAUGGCGUGAACCCGGGAGGCAGAGGUUGCAGUGAGCCAAGAUCAUGCCGUUGCACUCCAGCCUGGGCAACAGAGCGAGACUCUGUCUCAAAAAAAAAAAAAAAAAAAGUUCAUAACAGCACUAUUCACAAUAGCCCAAAAAUGGAAACAACACAAAUGACCACCAACAGGUAAAUGGAUAAACAGAAUAAAGGAAUAUUAUUUAGCGUCACAGAUAAUGAGGUGUUGAAUGAGGCUACAGCGCGGAUGAACCUGGAAACACUGUGCUAAGAGAAAGACGCCCGACACAAAAGCCCACAUACUGUGUGAUUCCAGUUUUAUGAAAUGUCCAGAAUAGGCAAAUCUACGGAGAGAAAGAUGCCAGACACAAAAGCCCACAUGCUGUGUGAUUCCGGUUCUAUGAAAUGUCCAGAACAGGCAAAUCCAUGGAGAGAAAGACGCCAGACACAAAAGCCCACAUGCUGUGUGAUUCCGGUUCUAUGAAAUGUCCAGAAUAGGAAAAUCUACGGAGAGAAAGAUGCCAGACACAAAAGCCCACAUGCUGUGUGAUUCCAGUUCUAUGAAAUGUCCAGAACAGGCAAAUCCACGAAGACAGAAAGUAGAUUGGUGGAUACCUAGGGCAUGGGGUGGGGAGAAGUGGAGAAUAACUGCCAACAGAUUUGUGGUUUCUCUUGGGGAAAUGGAAAUGUUCUGGAAUUACACCGUGGCGAUGCAUGUACAGCAUAGUGAAUAUACUAAAGCCACUGAAGUAUAAACUUUAAAGUGAUUAAUUUUAUGUUAUGUGAAUUGUAUCUCAAUAAAAAAUGUUUUAAAAAGGAAAGAAACAGCUGGGCAUGGUGGCUCAUGCCUAUAAUCCCAG